GAGGGUAUAGCUCAAGUAUUAGAGUGCAUGCUUAGCAUGCAUGAGGUCCUGGGUUCAAUCCCCAGUACUUCCU
rnacentral:tRNA from 1 species